rnacentral:rRNA from 1 species
CAGUUCGGAUUGUAGUCUGCAACUCGAGUACAUGAAGCUGGAAUCGCUAGUAAUCGCAAAUCAGAAUGUUGCGGUGAAUACGUUCCCGGGCCUUGUACACACCGCCCGUCACACCAUGGGAGUUGGAAGCACCCGAAGUCGAUGACCUAACCGCGAGGGAGGAGUCGCCGAAGGCGAAGCCAGUGACUGGGGUGAAGUCGUAACAAGGUACC